GUUACAUUACCACCCGCACGUGUCAGUUUCUCCCUCAGCCUCGCUGUUGGCUUCAGUUACAUUACCAGGAGCACCUUUGGGUUUCCUAUCUGUACCUGCAUCCCAGAAUAAACCCCACCAAUAUUUGGAAAAUUGGCAUAACUCAGUGAACUAAUAUUCUGCAAAAGGCCAAGGCACAAUGCUUAGAAUCAUGUAUAGAUCAACUGCUUUGUCUUUCAGUCUGAUGAACCAAAUCCAGCAGAGAUAAUAUUCAGUGCUGUGACUGUCAAGAGACAAGUUGGUACUAGAAAGGACCUGGAUCUGUAACCUAGUUAUUCACGUUAUAUCGACAGCCUAUCUACUCAUCACCUUCCAGAGAACAGUUGAGCUUAUACGACAAGGUUGUCCACUAAAUGCUUGGUUGACCUAAAUCAAAAUGCAUAUUUGUUCAAGUGCAGAGAAAAAAGUGCUGGAAAUCAUACAUGAAAAAACAUACAAAAUUUACAUGUCAUUUCAUUUGCAAAAUAAGGGGGGAAAGCCAAAGUGAUCCUAUCUUCUGGAAAAAGUAAAGAAUAAGAAAAAUUUGAAGGCUUUUUUAAACUUAUACUAGUCCACUUGUCCUUUCCCUUAGACAACUACAACAUAUUCAUUGCCAUAAGCACCAUGAGAAGAAAUAUGAUUCCUUCAGAUGAUAGCUCAAAAAGUGAUAACAUUUAGAGAAAGAUUCAAAGGGAGAAUCAGAAUAUUGAAUUAUGUCUGUAGAUUAGAUGUCGGUGUGUUUUAAUACAGAUAGAUUUUCUUCUACCACAUGUCUACUUUCUGAGAACCACAGGGAAGAUUCUUUAAAAUAUCUUUAUUGCUAUUUGAAAAGGAGAACUUCGAUUUUCAGCCUUAGAGUAUUAGUAUUAAAUACAGUGAUUCUUAGCUUGGUUCUCAGUACAACCAUACUAACCACCCAAAAACUCCACUCUUCACUUUUAUUUUAUCCCCUAUAUAUACUUCUUUUAUUGCUUCAAAACUCUGCUGCACUGAAGUCUUCACAAAAUCAAAGUGUUAAUGUUUUCUGACAUUAGGGCAGAAUAGGCACAAUAGGGCUUCCUUCCCCCCAUUCCUGUAGUCUUAGAGUGCUACACUAUUAGGAAACAGAAUGACCCUUUUCAGGUCCUGGACGUAGUCAUUUUUGUUUAACCAGACUCCCAUUCUUUCUCUUAUACAAGUUCUGAUGGAAGUGAACAUUAAGAUAUACAGCUGGUUCCAACUGAGAGAAUAUGCAGGUUUGAGAACUUCUGUUCACGUCACUCCAAGAGUGAAUCAAGCAUCAUGAAAUUUUCUCCCAAAAUGUCAAUCUGUGUAGGGUCAGUAAUCUCUACUUCCUCAGAUCACAAAAGACAUCAAAAUACUUUGAGAAAUCUAACCUUCUUAACAUUCUGUUUCUCCUUUCUUCCUUUAAUCCUAAAUGUCUGAGUCUUCUUACCUGCAAAUGGUCUGGCUCAUUUCUAACUCCUUGUCAUGCAACCAAAACAUGAC